GAUCACGUGGCUCAAUGGUAGAGCAUUGGUCUUCGGAACCAAAGGUUGAGGGUUCGAGUCCCCCCGUGAUUA
rnacentral:tRNA from 1 species